rnacentral:rRNA from 1 species
UACAGAGGGUGCAAGCGUUGCUCGGAAUCAUUGGGCGUAAAGGGUAGGUAGGUGGUCUCGUUUGUCUGGGGUGAAAGCCCAGGGCUUAACCCUGGAAGUGCCCCGGAAACGGCGAGACUGGAGUAUUGGAGAGGGUCGUGGAAUUCCCGGUGUAGCGGUGAAAUGCGUAGAGAUCGGGAGGAACACCAGAGGCGAAGGCGGCGACCUGGACAAUAACUGACACUCAACUACGAAAGCGUGGGGAGCAAACAGG